UACGGGGGGAGCAAGCGUUGUUCGGAUUUACUGGGCGUAAAGGGCGCGUAGGCGGCGUGACAAGUCACUUGUGAAAUCUCCGGGCUUAACCCGGAGCGGCCAAGUGAUACUGUCGUGCUAGAGUGCGGAAGGGGGCUACUGGAAUUCUCGGUGUAGCGGUGAAAUGCGUAGAUAUCGAGAGGAACACCUGCGGCGAAGGCGGGUAGCUGGGCCGACACUGACGCUGAUGCGCGAAAGCCAGGGGAGCGAAGCGGGAU
rnacentral:rRNA from 1 species